rnacentral:rRNA from 1 species
AUUCCAGCUCCAAUAGCGUAUAUUUUCGUUGUUGCAGUUAAAAAGCUCGUAGUUGAAUUUCUGGUGGGAAGAUGCGGACGGCCUCAUGGCUUGUUCCAAGUCUUCCGGCCAUCCUUGGGUGGAGCUCGUCUGGCAUUAAGUUGUCGGGCGGGGGAUGCCCAUCGUUUACUGUGAAAAAAUUAAAGUGUUCAAAGCAGACUUAUGUCGUUGAAUAUAUUAGCAUGGAAUAAUAAGAUAGGACAGCAGUGCUAUUUUGUUGGUUUGCGCACCGUUGUAAUGAUGAAUAGGGACAGUUGUGGGUAUUUAUAUUCACUUGUAAGAGGUGAAAUUCUUAGAUUAAGGGAAGAUAAACUACUGCGAAAGCAUUUACCAAGGAUGUUUUCAUUA